ACGGAAGGCAGCAGUGGGGAAUAUUGCACAAUGGGGGAAACCCUGAUGCAGCGACGCCGCGUGAAGGAAGAAGUAUCUCGGUAUGUAAACUUCUAUCAGCAGGGAAGAAAAUGACGGUACCUGACUAAGAAGCCCCGGCUAACUACGUGCCAGCAGCCGCGGUAAUACGUAGGGGGCAAGCGUUAUCCGGAUUUACUGGGUGUAAAGGGAGCGUAGACGGAAUUGCAAGUCUGAUGUGAAAGGCAUGGGCGCAACCUGUGGACUGCAUUGGAAACUGUGAUUCUUGAGUGCCGGAGGGGUAAGCGGAAUUCCUGGUGUAGCGGUGAAAUGCGUAGAUAUCAGGAGGAACACCGGUGGCGAAGGCGGCUUACUGGACGGCAACUGACGUUGAGGCUCGAAGGCGUGGGGAGCAAACAGGAUUAGAUACCCUGGUA
rnacentral:rRNA from 1 species